GAUGAACGCUAGCGAUAGGCUUAACACAUGCAAGUCGAGGGGCAUCGAGGGUAGCAAUACCUGUCGGCGACCGGCGCACGGGUGAGUAACGCGUAUGUAACCUGCCCGCAACAGAGGGAUAACCCGGCGAAAGUCGGACUAAUACCUCAUAAAACAGGGGUUCCGCAUGGGGCUAUUUGUUAAAGAUUUAUUGGUUGCGGAUGGGCAUGCGUACCAUUAGGUAGUUGGUGAGGUAACGGCUCACCAAGCCAUCGAUGGUUAGGGGUUCUGAGAGGAAGGUCCCCCACACUGGUACUGAGACACGGACCAGACUCCUACGGGAGGCAGCAGUGAGGAAUAUUGGUCAAUGGGCGAGAGCCUGAACCAGCCAAGUCGCGUGAAGGAUGACUGCCCUAUGGGUUGUAAACUUCUUUUACAGGGGAAUAAAAUGAGAUACGUGUAUUUUAUUGCAUGU
rnacentral:rRNA from 1 species